AUUGAACGCUGGCGGCAGGCCUAACACAUGCAAGUAGAGCGAGCGGCGGACGGGUGAGUAAUGUAUGGGGACUGACCGAUAGAGGGGGAUCACUGCUGGAAAGGGUAGCUAAUACCGCAUACCAUGGGAUAACACAUAUGGGAUUAGCUAGUAGGUGAGGUAAUGGCGCAACUAGGCUACGAUCCCUAGCUGGUCUGAGCGUAUGAACAGCCACACUAGGACUGAGAAACGGCCCAGACUCCUACGGAGGCAGCAGUGGGGAAUAUUGAACAAUUGGCGCAAGCCUGAUGCAGCCCUGCAGCUUGUAUGAAGAAGGCCCUAGGGUUGUAAAGUACUUUCAGUCGGGAGGCGUUACCGACAGAAGAAGCACCGGCUAACUCCGUGCCAGCAGCCGCGGUAAUAC
rnacentral:rRNA from 1 species